rnacentral:rRNA from 1 species
UACAGAGGAUACAAGCGUUAAUCGGAAUUACUGGGCGUAAAGCGUGCGUAGACGGUUAUUUAAGUCAGAUGUGAAAGCCCCAAACUCAACCUAGGAAUUGCAUUUGAGACUGAAUAGCUAAAAUACGGUAGAGGGAAGUGGAAUUUCCGGUGUAGCGGUGAAAUGCGUAGAUAUCGGAAGGAACAUCAAUAACGAAAGCGACUUCCUGGACCAGUACCGACGUUCAGGCACGAAAGCGUGGGGAGCAAACAGG